rnacentral:rRNA from 1 species
UCGACAAUUGUGUUAUCUGAGACCGAUCAAGUCUCUACGGAGACCGAUGAGAUUGCAUUGAAGCACUCGGAUCAGGCAUGCGCGUGCAGAAGACGCUAUGGUGUAACUGCUUUAUACAGGAGAAUGUAACUACGCGUAGUAUGACGUACUGUAGAUAGAUCGCUACUCGUGCAGCAGCGCGUAUACGAGAUCAGCGUAUCCGAUCAUGGGUUUAAAGGUCGCAGCGUCAUAGUCAGAGUGAAAUCUACCGCUCAACGGUAGCAUGCGUUUGAUACUGAUGGACUUGAGUAUAGUGAAGUAGUUAGAAUGUGUAGUGUAGCGGUGAAAUGCAUAGAUAUUACACAGAAUACCGAUUGCGAAAGCAGAUUACUAACUGUAUACUGACGCUGAGGGACGAAAGCGUGGGUAGCGAACAGGAUUAGAUACCCUGGUAGUCCACGCCGUAAACGAUGGAUACUAGCUGUUCGGCCAACAAUGGUUGGUUGAGUGGCUAAGCGAAAGUGAUAAGUAUCCCACCUGGGGAGUACGCUCGCAGGAGUGAAACUCAAAGGAAUUGACGGGGGCCCGCACAAGCGGUGGAGCAUGUGGUUUAAUUCGAUGAUACGCGAGGAACCUUACCAGGGCUUAAAUGUAGGUUGCAUAAACCAGAGAUGGUUUUUUCUUCGGACCACCUACAAGGUGCUGCAUGGUUGUCGUCAGCUCGUGCCGUGAGGUGUCAGGUUAAGUCCUAUAACGAGCGCAACCCCUGUUGUUAGUUGCCAGCAAGUAAAGUUGGGUACUCUAACGAGACUGCCGGUGCAAACCGCGAGGAAGGUGGGGAUGACGUCAAAUCAUCACGGCCCUUACGUCCUGGGCUACACACGUGCUACAAUGGCCGGUACAGCGAGCAGCCACUACGCGAGUAGGAGCGAAUCUAUAAAACCGGUCUCAGUUCGGAUCGCAGUCUGCAACUCGACUGCGUGAAGCUGGAAUCGCUAGUAAUCGGAUAUCAGCCAUGAUCCGGUGAAUACGUUCCCGGGCCUUGUACACACCGCCCGUCAAGCCAUGGAAGCUGGGGGUACCUGAAGUCGGUGACCGCAAGGAGCUGCCUAGGGUAAAACUAGUAACUGGGGCUAAGUCGUAACAAGGUAACCGUA